rnacentral:rRNA from 1 species
UUGGGUUAAAGGGUCCGUAGGCGGUUUAAUAAGUCAGUGGUGAAAGCCCAUCGCUCAACGGUGGAACGGCCAUUGAUACUGUUAGACUUGAAUUAUUAGGAAGUAACUAGAAUAUGUAGUGUAGCGGUGAAAUGCUUAGAGAUUACAUGGAAUACCAAUUGCGAAGGCAGGUUACUACUAAUUGAUUGACGCUGAUGGACGAAAGCGUGGGUAGCGAACAGGAUUAGAUACCCUGGUAGUCCACGCCGUAAACGAUGGAUACUAGCUGUUGGGAGCAAUCUCAGUGGCUAAGCGAAAGUGAUAAGUAUCCCACCUGGGGAGUACGUUCGCAAGAAUGAAACUCAAAGGAAUUGACGGGGGCCCGCACAAGCGGUGGAGCAUGUGGUUUAAUUCGAUGAUCGCGAGGAACCUUACCAAGGCUUAAAUGUAGAUUGACCCGUUUUGGAAACAGAACUUUCGCAAGACAAUUUACAAGGUGCUGCAUGGUUGUCGUCAGCUCGUGCCGUGAGGUGUCAGGUUAAGUCCUAUAACGAGCGCACCCCUGUUG